UAUACUGGAAUUAUUUUAUACCAUCAAUAGAUGGGAUAAAUUAAUCCCGAAAUUAUAAUUCCGAGAUAAUUUUGACUGCCUACCAAACGACCCCUGAGAGUAGUAUAAAAACUAAAAAAGGUGAAAGAAAUAACAAAAGAAAAUGGAAAAUACAUAUUGAUCAUCAAAUUUACUUUCCUUCCUGCCGAGUAUUUGCCGCUUCACAGUAUAUGAUGGCGGGAUGGUCAGCACUUCUAUAUGACCUAAUUGAAUCAAUCGCAAACCAAUUGAACACAGUUGAAGAUUUCCAUUCAUUUUCCUCAGUAUGCCGCUCCUGGAGGAUAGUCUAUAAAAGCAAUAACUGGCAUCCUAGUCUUCAAUUACCAUGGCUCAUGCUUGGGGAAAAGCAAGCCAACAACGGGCCCAUACGACAAUUCGUUAGUAUGUGCAAGUUUAAGUUUCAUAACUUGACAUUGCCUGAAACUCAAAAUUGUUCGCCUUGUCAACCCUUUUACUCGUGUUUGCACUAAUCUUCCAUCGAUUAGCACAUUAAACAUCCAAGGUGAUUGUUGGUUUUCUGCUAUUCACAAAGCUAAACUCUUCAAGAUUCAAAAUGGAUAUAUGGUUUUCAUUAUUUAUGGCCGUCAUAAUGAUGUGGCAUUCACUAGAUUGGGAGAUAACAGGUGGUCUUUGGUUCAAUCUUUAGCUCGUUUUGUUGAUGUUGUGUGCUUCAAGGAUCAAAUUAUGGCACUUUCGUUUGUGGGAACACUCUUUUCUCUUGACACAAAUGGAGUUGAUCCUCCAUGGAUGUUGGAGAUUAGUCCUCCUCCCAAACAAGAGAAAUCUUGCCAGCGGCUAUAUUUGGCAGAAUCAUCAGGAGAUCUCUUGAUAUUAUUUUAUUAUGGAAGUAGAUUCAGAGCAUACAAAUUUGAUAUCUCGGAAAGGAAGACAAGGAAGACAAGGGUCGAGCACAAGCCAGCCGUGCCAGGAUCUUUGAGACUCCUGCAGCAAAAGACAAAGAAAUCGAAGCCAUCAUUGACCAUCAGUUAGUCCGAGGCAAAGGUUGGGGCAACUCGAAGGCUCAAUUUCUUGUCCAUUGGAAGGGACAGCCGCCCGAGGAGGCUACAUGGGAAGCAUACGAGGACUUAUGGCAAUUCAAGGAUAAGGUCCAUGAAUUCUUGCAGUUCUGUGGCGCCGCGGUCGUCGCCAAAACAGUUGAGGGAGAGUGUGCCAUCCCGCCCUUUUCCGCGCCUGUCAGUCCGCAACUAGCGCCAGGCUCUUGAUAUUAUUUUAUUAUGGAAGUAGAUUCAGAGCAUACAAAUUUGAUAUCUCGGAAAGGAAGUGGACGAUGCUGGAGGACUUGGGUAAUAAUGUGCUACUUAUCGACGCCUAUAUUUGUACUUCCGUUCCUGCCCGUGGUCAUCUAAAGUGCAACUGCAUCUACUUUGUGGAUGACAAUGUGGACUUGUUGUUGGCACCCGGAUGGAAAUCUAUGGGGAAUCACUUGGGAAUGUAUAACUUAAGAGAUGAUUACAUGGAAUAUAUGCAUUUAGGAAAUGAUACUUCCUUUAGGUAUAUUUGCCCAACCUGGUUACUUCCUAGUUUGUGGUAGAAACUUAUGACAUGCUUAUUGUUUAACUAGAUGGCCCGUGCCCAUGCAUGGCACGGGCGUCUGCCCGGUAUAGCUGUGUGCAUUAUUUGUUGUAGUAUUUGAUGGUAUUGGUCUGAAGAAGCAGAUGCAUAAUAUUUGUAUUAGAAAAACCAUCAAUACCAGAUUAAUUAGUAAUCAACUCUUUAUCAA